AUUGAACGCUGGCGGCAGGCCUAACACAUGCAAGUCGAGCGGAUGAAGGGAGCUUGCUCCUGGAUUCAGCGGCGGACGGGUGAGUAAUGCCUAGGAAUCUGCCUGGUAGUGGGGACAAAGGCCGGAAACCGGCCGUAAUACCGCCUACGUCCUGGUGGAGGAAGGGGGGGGUCUUCGGACCCUACGCAAUCAAGUUGGCCUUGGGUCGGAUUUGCUAGUGGGUGGGUAAAAGGCUUACCAAGGCGACGAUCCGAAACUGGACUGAGAGGAUGAUCAGCCACACUGGAACUGAGACACGGUCCAGACUCCUACGGGAGGCAGCAGUGGGGAAUAUUGGACAAUGGGCGAAAGCCUGAUCCAGCCAUGCCGCGUGUGUGAAGAAGGUCUUCGGAUUGUAAAGCACUUUAAGUUGGGAGGAAGGGCAGUAAGUUAAUACCUUGCUGUUUUGACGUUACCAACAGAAUAAGCACCGGCUAACUUCGUG
rnacentral:rRNA from 1 species